AUUGAACGCUGGCGGCAUGCCUUACACAUGCAAGUCGAACGGCAGCACGGGUGCUUGCACCUGGUGGCGAGUGGCGAACGGGUGAGUAAUACAUCGGAACAUGUCCUGUAGUGGGGGAUAGCCCGGCGAAAGCCGGAUUAAUACCGCAUACGAUCUACGGAUGAAAGCGGGGGACCUUCGGGCCUCGCGCUAUAGGGUUGGCCGAUGGCUGAUUAGCUCGUUGGUGGGGUAAAGGCCUACCAAGGCGACGAUCAGUAGAUGGUCUGAGAGGACGACCAGCCACACUGGGACUGAGACACGGCCCAGACUCCUACGGGAGGCAGCAGUGGGGAAUUUUGGACAAUGGGCGAAAGCCUGAUCCAGCAAUGCCGCGUGUGUGAAGAAGGCCUUCGGGUUGUAAAGCACUUUUGUCCGGAAAGAAAUCCUUGGCUCUAAUACAGUCGGGGGAUGACGGUACCGGAAGAAUAAGCACCGGCUAACUACGUG
rnacentral:rRNA from 1 species